UACGUAGGGGGCAAGCGUUGUCCGGAAUCAUUGGGCGUAAAGAGCGUGUAGGCGGUUCGGUAAGUCUGCUGUGAAAGUCCAGGGCUCAACCCUGGAAAGCCGGUGGAUACUGUCGGACUAGAGUGCGGAAGAGGCGAGUGGAAUUCCCGGUGUAGCGGUGAAAUGCGUAGAUAUCGAGAGGAACACCUGCGGCGAAGGCGGGUAGCUGGGCCGACACUGACGCUGAGGCGCGAAAGCCAGGGGAGCGAACGGG
rnacentral:rRNA from 1 species